GGAGCUCCUUGAAUGAAGGUGGAGAAGAGAAUAUAUAGGUGGAGAAAAUCGAUUCUGAAGGUGCAGGCUAGGAAAGUGUAUUGAAUGGAGUCUGGCUUCGUCACGUUUUGGCUCGAAAGACUGAAUUGUACGGUAUGAACCAAAAGUCUGCUAUGACUUUGAAACAACCUCGGGACGAGUACUUUCUGAUUGACAGGCCGGCAUUUGUGAGCUGAUAUGAUGUUGAAUGUGACACAAUGAGAAGAGUGAUUUGAAUAAGAUGUAGAAAAUGCAACUGCUUCUUUAAAAUGUGCAUGCAGUGAACCAAUGCUAGCUUUUGCUACCAUACAUCAUUCAAUCACAUGGAUUUCCAGUUCUUUGUAAUUGAAUGCUCCUUGAAUGUGUUGGAUUGUGAUUCAUAAAUGGAUCUUCAAAUAAUUGUAUAAUUAGAUACUUGAGAAUGGUGAUCCUUGGAUUCUUUAUGUAA